CCUACGGGAGGCAGCAGUGGGGAAUUUUCCGCAAUGGGCGAAAGCCUGACGGAGCAAUCUCGCGUGAGGGAAGACGGCCUAUGGGUUGUAAACCUCUUUUCUCAGGGAGGAACUCAAUGACGUUACCUGAGGAAUAAGCAUCGGCUAACUCCGUGCCAGCAGCCGCGGUAAGACGGAGGAUGCAAGUGUUAUCCGGAAUCACUGGGCGUAAAGCGUCUGUAGGUGGUUAAGCAAGUCAACUGUUAAAUCUUGAGGCUCAACUUCAAAAUCGCAGUCGAAACUGUUUGACUAGAGUAUAGUAGGGGUAAAGGGAAUUUCCAGUGGAGCGGUGAAAUGCGUAGAUAUUGGAAAGAACACCGAUGGCGAAGGCACUUUACUGGGCUAUUACUGACACUCAGAGACGAAAGCUAGGGUAGCAAAUGGGAUUAGAUACCCCAGUAGUCCUAGCCGUAAACAAUGGAUACUAGAUGUUGAACAGAUCGACCUGUGCAGUAUCAAAGCUAACGCGUUAAGUAUCCCGCCUGGGAAGUAUGCUCGCAAGAGUGAAACUCAAAGGAAUUGACGG
rnacentral:rRNA from 1 species